UGCACUGUGUGCAGCAUGUGCGGUUUUUGAGUGAUGUUUGAAUAUUUACGUUUCAGCAGCUGGCGAAACACGUGAGCAUAUCCGCAUAUAGGUUGUCUGAUAUUGUAUUAAUUCUUGAUUUGCACACUUAAAAAUUUCGUAUUAUAUGUAUGAAAUGCUAUAAACAAAAAAUAGGAGUUUUGGUGUGUUGAAAAUCCCCGAUGACUCAUCAGUCAGCAUUUAACUUGCGUUGACAGGUGUAUCUGUUUUGAAAGAAACAUUUUCGUUGCAAUGGCUAAAAUAUUAAAGCAAUUAGUUUUUGGUCAAAAGAAAAAUCCUCCUGCCCCACCGCAACCGGAUUAUGCUGGAGAAGAAUCUGUUGAAGUAAAAUUUGCUGACCAUGAUUAUGAAAAUAUAUCGAAGUUCAGCUCAGAAAGUGGCGGAGUGGUUCGUUUUCAAGAGAAAGCAGAACCUGAGGUAUUGCAGGAAGGUCAAGGUUGCUGCUAAAUUGUAUUUGGGAACUGGUUCUUCGUCGUCACAUAGCAAGGCUGUUAACCCGUUUUUUCUUUCAUUGGCUUCCGCGUGUCUUUUGGAAGUUAACAUAUCUUUGUAUUCAAAUAAAAGCUUUUUAGUGUUUUCUUCUCA